rnacentral:rRNA from 1 species
UACGUAGGGCGCAAGCGUUGUCCGGAUUUAUUGGGCGUAAAGAGCUCGUAGGCGGUUUGUCGCGUCUUCCGUGAAAACUGGGGGCUUAACUUCCAGCUUGCGGUGGAUACGGGCUGACUGGAGUGCGGCAGGGGAGACUGGAAUUCCUGGUGUAGCGGUGAAAUGCGCAGAUAUCAGGAGGAACACCAGUGGCGAAGGCGGUGCUCUGGGCCGGUACUGACGCUGAGGAGCGAAAGCGUGGGUAGCAAACAGG